AGAGCGAACGCUGGCGGCAGGCUUAACACAUGCAAGUCGAGCGGGCGUAGCAAUACGUCAGCGGCAGACGGGUGAGUAACGCGUGGGAACGUACCUUUUGGUUCGGAACAACCCAGGGAAACUUGGGCUAAUACCGGAUAAGCCCUUACGGGGAAAGAUUUAUCGCCGAAAGAUCGGCCCGCGUCUGAUUAGCUAGUUGGUGUAGGUAAUGGCUCACCAAGGCGACGAUCAGUAGCUGGUCUGAGAGGAUGAUCAGCCACAUUGGGACUGAGACACGGCCCAAACUCCUACGGGAGGCAGCAGUGGGGAAUAUUGGACAAUGGGCGCAAGCCUGAUCCAGCCAUGCCGCGUGAGUGAUGAAGGCCCUAGGGUUGUAAAGCUCUUUUGUGCGGGAAGAUAAUGACGGUACCGCAAGAAUAAGCCCCGGCUAACUUCGCGCCAGCAGCCGC
rnacentral:rRNA from 1 species